AUGUUUCCUUAAAAAUUAAACAGAAUGACUAGCAAUUCUACUCCUAUGUACAUAGUCAGAAGAAUUGAAAACAGGUUCUCAUAAAAAUACUUGUACACAAAUGUCCUUAGAAGCGCUAUUCACAAUAAAGAAAAAAUGGAAGUAACCCAACAGUCCCUCAACAGAAGAAUCAUAAGCGUUGUGGUAUUAUGCAUGCUAUGGAAUAUCAUUCAGCCAUAAAAAAGAACACAGCAUUGAUACCUGCUACAGUGUGGAUAAAUCUCAAAAACAUGCUAAGUGAAAGAAAACAGGCAUAAAAGGUCACAUGUUGCACAAUUCCAUUUAUAUGAGAGUCAGAAAGCAAAUCUGUGGUUACCACAGGUAGGGUAGGUAGGAGGUUGGGGAGUAAUUUGUUUUUUGUCUUUUGGAGGCUGAACCCAUGAUAUAUAUGGAGACUCCCAGGGUGGGGCAGAAUUAAGAGCUGUAGCUUCCAGCCUGUGCCACAGCCACAACAAUGCCAUAUCUGAGCUAUGUUUGCAACCCACACCAUAGCUCACAGCAACACCGGAUCCCUAACCCACUGAGUGAGGCCAGGGAUCAAACCCUCAUCCUCACUGAUACUAGUCGGGUUCAUUAACCGCUGAGCAAUGAUGGGAACUCCUGGGGAAUAACUGUUUAGUGUACUAAAUGUCCACUUUAAAAUGGUUUAAUUUUAUGUUAUGUGGAUUUUACUUCACUAAAAAAAAAUGUAAAUCUAGCAAAAACUACAUAACCAACAAACCUAUUUCUUCAAGAUGUAAUGUAAUCCUUUAUUAAAGUAUAGUUGAUUCACAACAAAUUGAUGUGCCAAUUUUGGCUGUAGAGCAAAGUGACUACAUUUUGUGUGUGUGUGUGUGUGUGUGUGUGUGUAUAAAUUUUCUUUUCCAUCAUGGUCUAUCCCAGGAGACUGGAUAUAGUUCCCUGUGCUAUACAGUAGGGCCUUCUUGCUUAUCCGUUCUAAAUGUAAUAGUUUGCAUCUACUAACCACAAACUCCCAGUCCAUCCCCCUCCUUACCCCUCCCCUUGACAACUACAAAUCUGUUCUUGAUGUCGGUGAGUCUACCCAACAAACCUAUCAAGAAUAAUACAGCCUCCUUCUCCACAGUCUUGAUAAAAGACUGCCUGCUAAAUUAGAAUCAGUAAUUUUUAACAAGUAGAACCAGUAAAUCUAUUUAAUCGACAAUAAUCUGAUUCAGUAACCUUGCCUCUGGAAGCCAGUCAUUCAGUGACAGUCUUAAACUUUUGAAGGUCAACCAGUCAACAAUAAACUUACCACUGAAAGAAUCUUCUGAAAGCCAGAUGGCCAACAUGUCUUGCCAGAAUGACCACGUUUGGUUUUCUUGUCAUGGCUCAGUGGUUAACGAAUCCGACUAGGAACCAUGAGGUUGUGGGUUCGACCCCUGGCCUUGCUCAGUGGGUUAAGGAUCCAGCAUUGCCAUGAGCUGUGGUGUGGGUCGCAGACGCGGCUCGGAUCCCGUGUUGCUGUGGCUCUGGUAUAGGCUGGUGGCUACAGCUCAGAUUCGACCCCUCANCUCAGAAACCGUAUGUAAAAUCAGCAGUUGGAUUUACUCAAAAUGACAAGCCUAACCAGCAUAACUCUCCCUUUCUUAAGAAAUACAGUUUUUAUUUCAGACAUCAUGUGAUCACUUUGGUCUCUCCCUUAGACAAUCCUCACACUGAGAUUUCUAAUACCUCACUUGACAGUAAUCCACUGGACCCUUGGACCAACAGGAAAGAUCAGUGGCCUCUUGAGUCCCAAACGCCAACAGUCCUCAUAUCUGUUGUCAAGUGAGUUUCUCAGAAACUAUCUGAACUCUGACUAGGUUCACUGAGCUUUAAUUGCUGAAUUGAUUUUAUCUAAGACUUCUAAACAAACAGAUCUUCAUAUAACGUUACUUAGUACAUUUAGGUCUGUCUUUAUGACAAUCAAGACCCCCUGCUUGGUUUUCCUUCACGUUCUUGUUCAUCUAUUUAUAUAAAUUCUUGUCUUCUGUGUUCUUAAUUUGUCCUUUAUUGUCUUGUAUCUGUUGAACAUACAAGGAAGUACUUCAGAGGGAACAGAUGGAAGUAUAAGUCAAGUCUCCAAAUCAACAUAAGUUGGCGCCAAAGCUAAUGAUCCAUUAGGCUGAUGUCAACUGGCUGCUAAAAUGAUUGGUCAAACUUAGCUUUGGGUUCUCUGCGAGAUCCUCUUAAGAGUAGUCCCCAAGGCCUGGCAGUUUGUGAAAGAAGUUCAUUUUGUUUAGUCCAUAUUUUAGGAUCAGUUGUUGGAGUCACUGACCACAUGGCUCCUUCCUAUCCUCUCGGUUGAAGAACUUCAAUCACUAGCAAACACACUUGACUGAAGUGCCUUUUUCUUGUUUUUCACUGAUUUGUCUAUGUCAAAGGCACAAUCUCCUUCUGGCCAAAUUUUUGCUAUAAACCUAACUCUUGCGCUUAACUUUUUUUGAUUGUUUGUUUGUUUGUUUGUUGGUCUCUUUAGGGCCGCAUCUGUGGCACAUGAAAGUUCCCAGGCUAGGGAUCCAAUUGGAGCUUAAUUAGCAGAUUCCAAAAACAAACCCAGGAAAAAUUUCUGACAAUAUUCUGGAGUAUCCCCAAGAGCUAACAUAAAGACAGACAGCCUUGUCCUUUUUUUUUUUUUUAAAUGGACUCAGAAAUGCCAAUUUAGAUGACCUCCAACACGUCAUUCAACAUUUCAAAAAUCUAGGAGUUCCUGUCGUGGCGCAGUGGAAACGAAUCCGACUAGGAACCAUGAGGUUUCGGGUUCA
rnacentral:lncRNA from 1 species